rnacentral:rRNA from 1 species
UAGGGAAUCUUCCACAAUGGACGCAAGUCUGAUGGAGCAACGCCGCGUGAGUGAAGAAGGUUUUCGGAUCGUAAAGCUCUGUUGUUGGUGAAGAAGGAUAGAGGUAGUAACUGGCCUUUAUUUGACGGUAAUCAACCAGAAGGUCACGGCUAACUACGUGCCAGCAGCCGCGGUAAUACGUAGGUGGCAAGCGUUGUCCGGAUUUAUUGGGCGUAAAGCGAGCGCAGGCGGAAGAAUAAGUCUGAUGUGAAAGCCCUCGGCUUAACCGAGGAACUGCAUCGGAAACUGUUUUUCUUGAGAGCAGAAGAGGAGAGUGGAAUUCCAUGUGUAGCGGUGGAAUGCGUAGAUAUAUGGAAGAACACCAGUGGCGAAGGCGACUCUCUGGUCUGCAACUGACGCUGAGGCUCGAAAGCAUGGGUAGCGAACAGG